rnacentral:rRNA from 1 species
UACGUAGGUGUCAAGCGUUGUCCGGAUUUAUUGGGCGUAAAGCGUCUGUAGGUGGUUUAACAAGUCCACUGUUAAAAAUUGAAGCUUAACUUCAAAGAUGCCGUGGAAACUUUUAAACUUGAGUAUGGUAGGGGUAGAGGGAAUUUCCAGUGGAGCGGUGAAAUGCGUAGAUAUUGGAAAGACCACCAAUGGCGAAGGCACUCUACUGGGCCAUUACUGACACUGAGAGACGAAAGCUAGGGGAGCAAAUGGG